CCUGCACCCAUCUUGUACGCAUUUCCUCAGCCCGAGGUCCAUCCACCUAUCCCAGAUGCAUCUCCACCCAUGGUAGAUGCAUCUCCUCAGCCCGAGGUCCCUUCACCCACCCCACCUUCGCAGCCCAGUUUUGAUCUCGGUAUUAAUUUUCAUUUGACCCCCUCCUAUACACCCCGAGACACCCUCAUACCCACCCACCUGCUCUAGUGCACCCACUAUGCCCAUAGACCCACCUACCUCAUCCUCAUUUGACCUUUUAGGACCUCUAGUUGGGAUUGACACUGUACAGCUAGCUAUACCGGAUGAGCAUCCCCCUCCUCAGCUCGCACCCCCACAAGGUAGACCGCAAUGUGUUAGAAGAGCACCCACUUGUGGGACAGGUGGACACAAAAUAGGACGUGCAGACAGCUCUAUGCCUAAGGAUGAUGCCCCGCAGCCUCCUCCCCCGCCCAAACAUUACACGAGGGUUAAAAAAUGCAAAAUUGGUGAACCUUGAAAAAGAGGAUUAAUUAUGCAUUGUAUGAAGAGCUUGAUGCAGAAUAUGUGGAGCACACAAGAGAUGUGUAUGGGGAGUGUCUGAAGCAAAUUCCUCAUGAGAGAUUCUCUUUUGCAAAAUUAUGGCUUCUAGCUGCUCAAUUUGAGAUCCGGCAGCUAAAUCUCAAGGCUGCACGACAAAUCCUGGGAAAUGCAAUUGGCAAAGCUCCUAAAGAUAAGAUAUUCAACAAGUAUAUUGAGAUAGAGCUUCAGCUUGGAAAUAUAGACCGUGGCCGAAAGCUUUGUGAGAAGUAUUUGGAGUGGGCGCCUGAAAACUGUUAUGCAUGGAGCAAGUAUGCGGAGUUAGAGAGAUCUUUGUGUGCGACUGAGCGACCUAGGGCAAUCUUUGAGCUUGCAAUUGCCCAACCAGCACUGGAUAUGCCGGAGUUAUUGUGGAAGGGGUUUUUGAGAAAGCCAUUAACUACUACAGAACAUCUGCACCUGAGUAAAAAGAGGAAAGAGCAAUGCUACUAGAAUGGUGGCUGAACAUGGAGAGCAGUUUUGGGGAGCUUGGUGAUAUUAGUUUAGUCCAGGCUAAGCUGCCAAAGAAGCUGAAAAAGAGGAGGCAGAUGGUGUAUGAGGAUGGUCCGGCUGGGUAUGAGGAAUACAUCGAUUAUAUGUUCCCUGAGGAAACUCAGACGACUAAUCUUAAACUCUUGGAAGCUGCCUAUAAGUGGAAGAAGCAAAAGAUUUCUGAUGAAGACUAGCAUGGUUACCUGAUUUUGUAGAAUUUUAGCUUUUGGUGUAAAUACACAAUUGUUUUUUUUGUAUGUUAAUUGGGUGAAAAUGAAGUAGUUUAGCUGCUAAUCAUAUUUUUCUGGAAUGAACGAUUGCACCCCCAAAAUCAGUUGAGGGAACUUAAGAGUUGUACGGAGUGUCUAGAUUAGAUUCUGAGAAUUUAUUAUCAUAGUGAUGAAUCAAGCAUAUCCUUCUAGGCUGAAAUUUAUUUUAUCAAUUCCUGAAAUGCACUUUGAACU